GGGUGUUGAGCAGUCAGGUUGUUGUCUCUGUUGGCGUCAAUGUCUGUCAGGCCCUGAGCUCCAUUUGGUAGGUGUUAGAGUGGGCACUCAGAGAUGACAUGGCUGGCUUUCUGUUGUGCUGCU